CUACAUCCAAUUAAGCUGACCGUGCUUCUUUCCUCAUGGGAGCCUGGUGUGCAAUAGUGCAAACAGCAGCCUCCUUGGUAGUGUAUGCAGCCUGUUGCUCUAAGGGGCCUUGGUGACACUC
ensembl:snoRNA SNORA70 Small nucleolar RNA SNORA70